GGACCCGCACAAGCGGUGGAUGAUGUGGUUUAAUUCGAUGCAACGCGAAAAACCUUACCUACCCUUGACAUGCCAGGAAUUCCAUAGAGAUAUGGAAGUGCUCGAAAGAGAGCCUGGGCACAGGUGCUGCAUGGCCGUCGUCAGCUCGUGUCGUGAGAUGUUGGGUUAAGUCCCGCAACGAGCGCAACCCUUAUCAUUAGUUGCUACGCAAGGGCACUCUAAUGAGACUGCCGGUGACAAACCGGAGGAAGGUGGGGAUGACGUCAGGUCCUCAUGGCCCUUAUGGGUAGGGCUACACACGUCAUACAAUGGCCGGUACAGAGGGCUGCCAACCCGCGAGGGGGAGCUAAUCCCAGAAAACCGGUCGUAGUCCGGAUUGCAGUCUGCAACUCGACUGCAUGAAGUCGGAAUCGCUAGUAAUCGCGGAUCAGCUUGCCGCGGUGAAUACGUUCCCGGGUCUU
rnacentral:rRNA from 1 species